rnacentral:rRNA from 1 species
GCGCUAAUCAAACCAGAGAAACCUGGGCCUUAAUACGAUAGUCCACGAACCUCUUACCUUUCCUAGCGAAGCUUUCUGCCCUUAGGUUUUAGCUUUAUAUCAGUUUGCGUACGGCCGUUGUUCAGCUCAUGUCGCAAGAUAAACGAAAAGGGCGACGCAGCAUUUCAUGGCGCUGUUGGCUUAAAGUUUUAAGUUGACGGCGUUUCGCUACUAAUUCAGGUAAACGUGCAGCCAAUGGAGAGGGGGUCCUGGGUUAUAAUCGAAGCUUGGACGGAUGCGAGCUUGAGAGGGCCGUCUGAAGGAGGAUUUGGCAGUAAUCUUUUUGGUCACAGAAGAGGUGAAGGGUGCUCUAGCGCGUGU